AGUGAACGCUGGCGGUAGGCCUAACACAUGCAAGUCGAACGGCAGCACAGGAGAGCUUGCUCUCUGGGUGGCGAGUGGCGGACGGGUGAGGAAUACAUCGGAAUCUACUCUGUCGUGGGGGAUAACGUAGGGAAACUUACGCUAAUACCGCAUACGACCUACGGGUGAAAGCAGGGGAUCUUCGGACCUUGCGCGAUUGAAUGAGCCGAUGUCGGAUUAGCCAGUUGGCGGGGUAAAGGCCCACCAAGGCGACGAUCCGUAGCUGGUCUGCGAGGAUGAUCAGCCACACUGGAACUGCGACACGGUCCAGACUCCUACGGGAGGCAGCAGUGGGGAAUAUUGGACAAUGGGCGCAAGCCUGAUUCAGCCAUACCGCGUGGGUGAAGAAGGCCUUCGGGUUGUAAAGCCCUUUUGUUGGGAAAGAAAUCCAGCUGGCUAAUACCCGGUUGGGAUGACGGUACCCAAAGAAUAAGCACCGGCUAACUUCGUGCCAGCCGCCGCCGUAA
rnacentral:rRNA from 1 species